rnacentral:rRNA from 1 species
AGAGUUUGAUCCUGGCUCAGGAUGAACGCUGGCGGCGUGCUUAACACAUGCAAGUCGAACGGGAAAUACUUUAUUGAAACUUCGGUCGAUUUAAUUUAUUUCUAGUGGCGGACGGGUGAGUAACGCGUGGGUAACCUGCCUUAUACCGGGGGAUAACAGCCAGAAAUGGCUGCUAAUACCGCAUAAGCGCACAGAACCGCAUGGUUCCGUGUGAAAAACUCCGGUGGUAUAAGAUGGACCCGCGUUGGAUUAGCUAGUUGGCAGGGCAGCGGCCUACCAAGGCGACGAUCCAUAGCCGGCCUGAGAGGGUGAACGGCCACAUUGGGACUGAGACACGGCCCAGACUCCUACGGGAGGCAGCAGUGGGGAAUAUUGCACAAUGGGGGAAACCCUGAUGCAGCGACGCCGCGUGAAGGAAGAAGUAUCUCGGUAUGUAAACUUCUAUCAGCAGGGAAGAUAAUGACGGUACCUGACUAAGAAGCCCCGGCUAACUACGUGCCAGCAGCCGCGGU